rnacentral:lncRNA from 1 species
GUUCUGGGCUUGCCUGGGAGAAGGAGCUGUUGCAGUCUUGCACGAUCAAAAUAGGGCCUUUAGGUUUGAAGGAUGAGGUUGAGCCCAUAUUUUGACUCCAAAUGUCGGGGGAGGGGAGAAGAAGUCGACAGAUCCAAACAAGGAACAUUUGAAUGAAAUGCAGAUAACUCUUUAGAAAACUUUUGUAGGAAAAGCGCCUCGUGUGAUCUGGAACAAAGACGUUUUAUAAUCAGAUUUAUCAAGCUGCGAAGAGGGAGUUUUAGUGAACGGAAGCAGCAGCAUUCUGUCACCAGGAAAUACUCCUUUAUCCAGAAUUGGUAAGUGAAAAGUGGCAUUGCUCCCUAAUAGAUAUCAUAUGCGUGUGUGGGAAUUGAAAAAUUGUUCACAGACCCCUAACAACUGUGUUGAACAGAGAACACAUAAACAGUGAGGAGUUCUAAAAAAGAGCAGCACGAGAAUACCGCAUAAAGACUGAGAAGAAGCCAGACUUAAACUUCCGUGAGUGCAAGGAUUUUGUUCAGUGUUGCAUUCCCAGUGCCUGGAAUAAAGCACGCAGAAGUAUUUCAGUAAGGUACUGAAAGGUACUUAUUGAAGGUACUCAGUAAGUAUUUCUGGGGUGGAUAAAUGAAUAGCAAAGAGAACACCAAUCCUGUGACUUAUUUUGUUACCUUCAUUGUAUCAUGGGAGGAAAGCUUGGAACUGACAUGCUAGUGAGCACCUGCUUUGAAUAUUUAUUAUAAUAUGCAUUUUCUGUAAUUUUCUUUGGUGUUUGAGAUAUUUGGUAAAAUAACUGUAUUAUCCUCAGUUCGUAACACGAAAGAAUUUUUUAACUGCAAUUUACUUUACAUAUGUGCAUCAUUGCUAGAUUACCCAAGUUAAAGUGACAGGAAGCAACAAAAAUGCUCCAAGCCACAAUAAAAUGGUAGAUUGGUUUUUUGUUUGCUUGUUUGUUUUUCUCUUGUGUAUAUUUCCAUUUUACUGCAAAACAUACCAAAUAAUUGAUUGUAGAUUUUGUCACAAGGAAUCAUGUAUGCUGUAGAAGUAUAGAGAUUUUCCACUUUUUUUGUUUGCUGCUGGAUCUCCAGCACCUAAGAAAAUAUGUGGCACUUUAUUUAAUGUCACUCAGUCAGUAUCUGUUGGAUAAGUAAAUAAAUCCAGAGGUUGUUUAAAAUUACGUACAUGGGAAUAUUGUCAAAAUGUCAAUUCAUGAUCCAAAGAAAAUGUGCAAUUGAAAUCUGAUAUCUUCUUUUUUCUUCCACAGAGCCCCUCCC